AGGGGGAAUCACGUCGUCUCAUCUUUAGAUGUGAGGGGUGUGUCAAGAGAUGAUGGCUCCCAAAACACGCAUACUGCUCUUGCUUCUUGUGUCUAGUAUAGCCAUCAUGCCCGUUUUGGCCUCGAGGGAACUUAUUGUUCAAAACGCUCAGCAAAAGGCAAAGGUGGUGGGCAACGAGAACAUCAAUACAAAUACAAGUGGGGCAAAGAGGAUGCUCGACUCCUACAGCGACCCAGUGUAUCCUGCUCCCGGUGAAUAUCCCCAACUACCAGGGUGCCCACCAACCUGUAACCCCUGAAAACCAUAGAGGAAGAGUGGGGUCGUCUGCUUGCUUAGUGCGAACAUCAAAUCUGCAAGGCUCGCACAUAAUUAAUUGGUCUUCUAUAAAUGGAUUGGCGAGGUUCUUCUUUCAAGUACCUAGGUUGAUGCAAGCUUUCUACUUCGCUGGUUAUCAAAAUAGUAAAUAAGAUGCUAAAGCUAACGCAUUACGUCGAUGUGUUAGACAUGCUAGCUACCUGUGUUGUGAGUGUGAUGUAUUCGCUCUAUUAAUGGACCAAUCUUUAUGUAUCCUACAAGUGCUAAUUUAUUGGCUUUUAUAGUGCUUGUA